CUAUCACAUAUGUAUCUCAUGUAUUUCAUGGUGUAACUUUCCCUGGAGAGAGAAAUUCAAUGCCAUUUCUCAGCUGUCUUCAAAUCUUGGAACUUCCCUCAAGGCUCCUCACCUAGGAAUACACCUCUGCUGUUCCAGCCUCCUCUCAUUGAGCCAAUGACUAUUUCAUGACAUGAAGAGAGGAAGUGAAUGGAAAGCCAAGCAAGUCACAGCCACUAAAUCAGAACAACUGAAUUUAUUGAAAAUGAAGUUUUGAGGAGGAAAAAAAC